GAUGAACGCUAGCGGCAGGCUUAAUACAUGCAAGUCGUGGGGCAGCAUGAGUAGCAAUACUUGAUGGCGACCGGCAAACGGGUGAGGAACACGUACACAACCUUCCUUCAAGCGGGGAAUAGCCCAGAGAAAUUUGGAUUAAUACCCCAUAAUAUAUUUGAUAAGGCAUCUUAUUAAAUAUUAAAGCUUCGGCACUUGAUGAUGGGUGUGCGGCUGGUUAGAUAGUUGGCGGGUAACGGCCCACCAAGUCUACGAUCAGUAGCUGAUGUGAGAGCAUGAUCAGCCACACGGGCACUGAGACACGGGCCCGACUCCUACGGGAGGCAGCAGUAAGGAAUAUUGGACAAUGGACGAAAAGUCUGAUCCAGCCAUGCCGCGUGAAGGAUUAAGGUACCUCUGGAUUGUAAAC
rnacentral:rRNA from 1 species